rnacentral:miRNA from 1 species
UAAAGUCAAUAAUACCUUGAAG